rnacentral:rRNA from 1 species
UGAUUUACUUUUUUAAUAUCUAGUGACCUUGGCCUAAAGUUAGGUUUAGAUUUAUAAAGAAUAGGUUACUCGUUUUUAAUUUUACUGUUAUUUUACAUUUUUAUUUGUUUUUAAGUAUAAUAAUAAAGUAUAUUAAAAUUAAUUUGCUUAUAUUAAGAUUAAUUUAGCCAUAUUGGUUAUAUAUUGAGAUUAAAUAGAUAUCUCUUUCUUAGGGACAAGUAUAUGAUCGAUUUUAUCGAAUAAAGUUCUAGAUAGGAGACUGAUUAUGACAAUUUCCUAUCUAUGUGUCUUGGCUAAAUUACGUGCCAGCAGCCGCGGCAAUACGUAGAAGACUAGUGUUGUUCAUCUUUAUUAGGUUUAAAGGGUACCUAGACGGUAUAAUUAGUCUUUAAUAGGAAACAUUUGUACUAGAGUUAUAUAUGAGAAGGCGAGUAUUUAUGGAGUAGAGUUGAAAUUUUGUUAUACCAUGACGACUGAUAACGGCGAAAGCAACCUUUUAUCUAAUAACUGACGUUGAGGGACGAAGGCUCGGGUAACGAACAGGAUUAGAUACCCUAGUAGUCCAAGCAGAAAAUUAUGAAUGCCAUAGAUUAGAUACUUUGAUAUUGAUUUAAUUUUAUACUUUAAUGUAGUAUUGAUGAUUGGAUACUUUAUAGAAUUUAUGAUUUAUCUAAAGUUAUAUAUUUAGUUUAUAAAUGAAAGUGUAAGCAUUUCACCUCAAGAGUAGCUGGCAUCGCAGGAACUGAAAUCAUUAGACCGUUUCUGAAACCAGUAGUGAAGUAUGUUGUUUAAUUGGUAGAUACGCGAAAAACCUUACCACAAUUUGAAUAAUUUUUUUUUAUUAAUUUAAUUUACCUCAGAUUAAAUGUAUUAAUAUUAAAUAUUACCAGCGUUGCACGGCUGUCGGCAGUUAAUGUCGUGAGAUAUUGGUUAAUUCCAUUUAAUUAACGGAAGCCCUUGCUUUAUUUGUCCUUU